rnacentral:rRNA from 1 species
UACGAAGGGUGCAAGCGUUAAUCGGAAUUACUGGGCGUAAAGCGCGCGUAGGUGGUUUGUUAAGUUGAAUGUGAAAGCCCCGGGCUCAACCUGGGAACUGCAUCCAAAACUGGCAAGCUAGAGUAUGGCAGAGGGUGGUGGAAUUUCCUGUGUAGCGGUGAAAUGCGUAGAUAUAGGAAGGAACACCAGUGGCGAAGGCGACCACCUGGGCUACUACUGACACUGAGGUGCGAAAGCGUGGGGAGCAAACAGG